rnacentral:rRNA from 1 species
UACAGAGGUCCCAAGCGUUGUUCGGAUUCAUUGGGCGUAAAGGGUGCGUAGGCGGCGCGGUAAGUCGGGUGUGAAAUCUCGGAGCUCAACUCCGAAAUUGCACUGGAUACUGCUCUGCUAGAGGGCUGGAGAGGAGAUCGGAAUUCACGGUGUAGCAGUGAAAUGCGUAGAUAUCGUGAGGAAGACCAGUUGCGAAGGCGGAUCUCUGGGCAGUUCCUGACACUGAGGCGCGAAAGCGUGGGGAGCAAACAGG